UACGUAGGGUGCGAGCGUUAAUCGGAAUUACUGGGCGUAAAGCGUGCGCAGGCGGUUUUGUAAGCCAGAUGUGAAAUCCCCCGGGCUUAACCUGGGAAUGGCAUUUGGGACUGCAAGGCUGGAGUUUGGCAGAGGAGACUGGAAUUCCCGGUGUAGCAGUGAAAUGCGUAGAUAUUGGGAGGAACACCAGUGGCGAAGGCGGCUCACUGGACCGGUACUGACGCUGAGGCGCGAAAGCGUGGGGAGCAAACAGG
rnacentral:rRNA from 1 species